rnacentral:rRNA from 1 species
AAAUGAAUUGACGGGGACCCGCACAAGCGGUGGAGCAUGUGGUUUAAUUCGAAGCAACGCGAAGAACCUUACCAAGUCUUGACAUCCUCCUGACAGCGUAUGUAAUGUAUGUUUCCUUCGGGACAGGAGAGACAGGUGGUGCAUGGUUGUCGUCAGCUCGUGUCGUGAGAUGUUGGGUUAAGUCCCGCAACGAGCGCAACCCUUGUCCUUAGUAGCCAGCACGUGAUGGUGGGCACUCUAGGGAGACUGCCAGGGUGAACCUGGAGGAAGGUGGGGAUGACGUCAAAUCAUCAUGCCCCUUAUGACUUGGGCUACACACGUGCUACAAUGGCGCGAACAAAGGGAAGCGACCCUGUGAAGGCGAGCAAAUCUCAAAAAAGGCGUCUCAGUUCGGAUUGUAGUCUGCAACCCGACUACAUGAAGCUGGAAUCGCUAGUAAUCGCGAAUCAGAAUGUCGCGGUGAAUACGUUCCCGGGUCUUGUACACACCGCCCGU